CUCCUGCGGCGGCGCUGGCGGCGGGCGGGAUGCGCGGCCCGGCCCGCGGCAGCUGUGAAUUCUUGUAGAAGAUUGAUAGCUCUGCCAGCAUUUGUCCACAAUAGAAGAUGGGUGGAUUAAUUUCAAGAUGGAGGCAGGCAAAGCCUUCCACUGUAGAAGUAUUAGAAAAAAUAGAUAAGGAAAUACAGACAUUAGAAGAAUUUAGAGAAAAAAAUCAGAGGCUACAGAAACUAUGGGUUGGAAGGCUUCUUCUCUACUCCUCACUUCUUUACCUUAUUACUUGCUUAAUUGUAUAUUUGUGGUGUCUUCCUGAUGAAUGGACAGCAAGGCUGACAAUGACACUUCCAUUUUUUGCGUUUCCAUUGAUAAUCUGGUGUAUAAGAACAAUGCUCAUUUUUUUCUUUUCCAAACGGACAGAAAGAAAUAAUGAUGCUCUGGAAGAUUUGAAAUCCCAAAAGAAAAAAAUACUUGAGGAAGUAAUGGAAAAGGAAACGUACAAGACUGCUAAACUAAUCCUUGAAAGGUUUGAUCCGGAAUCAAGUGCAAAGGAGACUGAACUACCAUCUGGUGGAACAUCUGCAACCCCAAGACCUGGACAAGAAAUUCGUCAGAGGACUGCAGCUCAAAGAAAUGCUUCUACACCCCCACCUGUGACUCCUAAACAAGGCUCUCCGAAGCUCCCUCUUCCAGCAGCUCCUAAUCUGCAGAGAGACAGCCCAGCUCCGAGCGGGCUCCCGGAGAGAACUGCUGCGCCAUCCUUGCCGUCCAAUGUUUUACCAAGGCGCCCUGGAUCCCCUGCUACUUCAGUGCCUGGAAUGGGUCUUCAUCCUCCAGGCCCUCCUUUGGCAAGACCUGUUCUUCCUCGAGAAAGAGGAGUUGUGGAUAGAGUUAUUGAGUAUUUGGUUGGUGAUGGUCCUCAGAACAGGUAUGCCCUUAUAUGUCAGCAAUGUUUUUCUCAUAAUGGUAUGGCUUUGAAGGAGGAGUUUGAAUACAUAGCAUUUAGAUGUGCCUACUGCUUCUUCCUGAAUCCUGCAAGAAAAACUAGACCUCAAGCUCCACGACUUCCAGACUUCAGUUUUGAAAAAAAACAAACUACAGAAUUGCGGUCUGAAACUGAGCCUCUAGAACCUAGAGAGAGAGAGCCCCAGGAGACUCAGCAGACAAAAGAACCUGAAGAUGUGGCCCAGCUCGUUGAGGCAGAUGAUAAAGCGCCAAGUUCUGAGCAUCUAAAUGAUAAGCUAGCUGAAGAAGUUGAAAAAGAAGCAGAAAACAUUUCAACAACUGAAGAGGCUAUUUCAGAGUCUGCUUCAGCAGAACAAAGUGAAGAAUCUUUAAUAAAAGCAGAAUAAAAUACUUCAAGUGCCUUCUGUAGCUAGUUUUUAGCUUUGUUCAUGCCUGUUGUUACUAUUCAGAGAAGCUGGAUUUGUAGAAAACUCAAGCAACAAAGACCUUCCAGCUCUUCUCAAGUGGUCUGCCCUCUAAUUCCUUGCAUCACUUCAAGGAGUUCUGCUCAGUUGACGAAACUUAAUUUUGACUUGUUCAGCACUCAAAAACCAUUUACAAAACCACCAAGAAAAUUCAUUUUAAGAAAACUGUUUUGAAUGAUGUUUUAAAGGAAAUGUGAAAGUUGUUAUUUCUUUAGGAAUGUUUGUACUUGCAUUUUUUGUAUAUUAAACUUUUAUUUGAACAGGAGUUCCUGUAUAUUUAUAGAUGCUAUUGUUGUAGUAGCCUUGUUGCAUUAGUAAAAGGUAUGUGUGCUUAUGUACUAUAAAUAUUAUCUUUAAUCAGAAAUAUUAUCUUUAAUCAUUCUAAUCCUAGAUGUAGCCUUGACUAUACAUCACCUGCACUUGAAAUUCCAUUAAAAUCAAUGGCAAAAACAUUAAUUAGUGUGAAUUCUUAGGCUCUAAUAGACUUCCUGAAAUGUCAGGAAGUCUGUCUUAGCUUUUCUGCUUAUAAUAGAGAAAAUAUUUUAACUUGUGCUCCCCUUUUGAAACUCACUGGCUUACCAAAUUUUAAAGCAAAUGAAAUUAAGUUGCAUAGCUUGUUAUUUGAAUAUAUGCUGGUUUUGCUAUGUAUGUAACUUCUUGAGGAAAAAACGGAUCAUGAAAAAGCUAUUUAUUUACCUGAGCUUAAUUGAUGAUUUGAGGUGAUAAUUCUGUUUAAUAGUUCCUUCUGUGCUGGCUGUACUUAAUCAACUUGAAUUUUGUAACAUAGGACAUAUGAGGCCCCCAUAUGUUCCAAACAAGGAUGAGGGGGCCCCUGCCUCUUUAGUGCAGUCCCUGCCCCCCUAGUUGGACUGGCAUAUGUAGGAGAAGAAAGUUGUUCAAGGUUGAGUAGUUUCUGAUAAGACCCAUUUGUCUGUGCUGUAGCCAAUUGUGAGAACUCUUGGCUCAUGGCAUGAGCAGCCAGCUCUCCACCCUCAAAGGUCAGCCUGGCACAGGACUACAAAAUUUUGUGUGCUGAAGUAGAGGCAGGGAAAACCUGCCUUGAUUCAGGAUUGAAAAUAUGUGGCAGCUUCAGAGAGAAUUGUGGAGUUGUGAAGGUGCUGACUUUGGCCCACGAUUCCAUAGACAUUUCAGGGUGGGUAUUGCAGGUUUUAUUGUAUCUAAAUGGUGAUUUAUGUCUUUAUUCCUCCAUUAUUGUCCACAAGGCACUGCCCUGUGUCACAGGCCUGUAUUACCUAAUUUUUUCAGACUGUUUCAUUUUCAUUAGCACAGCUGCUUUAGCUUGUGAUCAGUGUACUGCAUCUCACUGAUAAGCUAAGAGGGUAUUAGAUGCACAGAAGUGACACGUAACCCUGUCAGCCUGGCUUGAUUGACCCCUCAGCUUCCGAAACAUGGGUUCUUUUUUUUUUUUUUUUUUUUUUUUUUUUUUUUUAAAUCCAAGUUAACCUGCAUCCAUUUUCACACAGAUUCGGGGUAGUUUAAAGGUUGGUCGGAUUCGAAUAUUGCUCUUUCAAAUUUGAUAAUGUAUGAGUACAGAACUGUGACCUUUGAUACGUAGUAAUACAUCAACAUGACAUGAGCAGUAAGUGCAGCAAUUACCUUUACUACGCUUCAGAUUGUGUUUUAGUUGUCAUCUUGCAUGCAAUUAUUUCAGAGAAAAAGGAAUGCCUUUAAGUUAAAUAUUUUUUGCAAAUAGCAUAAGUGCAGAAAUUAAUCUCUGGGGACUUCCUGAUUUACAGGUAAAUGUUUUCAAAUGGAUCUUGGCUUUUAAAUUAACAUUGUUUUAGUGGUAGAAAGGAAUCUGGUGCCAUUGACUUUUAUAGUACUUUUUUUAUCUGAAAGAGUUUCUUUAAACGUUGUGUUCUAAUGUAAUCUAAAUUUCAUAUUCUAAUUUAUGGCCAAAGCCUGAUCCUGCAGGCAGUUGACAUGUCACUCUGUUCAUGUUGCUUCCGUGAUAAUACUCGUGAGUUGGUUAUGUGCAUGGUAAUAAUGCAAGUUUACAUGCUUUUAAGUGCCUUUCAGAACAUCAGAGCAUCUCAGAUGUGCAUCACAUACUGAUUUAAGAGGCUGUUUUUAGGUGCCCCAGCAAUGUUUCAUCUUUUUCCUGAGCAGAUCAAGAUGCAUUUGGUUUAUUUCCAGAUGUUCUUUCUCACUUGUUAUAAAUUAUUUGGAUAAUAAUGGUGCACAACCACUACCUGGUAGUGCUAUAAAAACACAAAUCAGUACUCCUUGCCAAAGAGCAUAAGGCCUUGAGAGGACUGAUAGCAGUUGUGGUUUCUGUUCUGUGAACUAAGAAUCAGAAAAAAAUUAUUGUGUCAUUCUGAGCAAGCAAUUGAGUGACCAUUGAAUGGUGACUCUAUCAGUGUUGUCUGUCACAACCUAAACUCAAAGGGAUAAUUUGAAGUAGAACUUCACGUUCUUGUAAAAUACCUGCCUCAUCAGCAGCCAAGCACUGAAUGGUGUUGGUGUACCAGAGUUAGGCACUGAACUUUAAUUCAGGAGCUGGGAAAGGGCUUAUUUUGUUUAUAUUGAGGUGAAAGCAACACCUUUUGGAAAGGCUUUCUUUCAGCUGUCAAAAAUGUAAACCCCUAGCCCCCAAAACCAUUUAGCCAUUCUGGGUCACAGGAGGCAGCUGUCCCCAGUGGCUGCUGUGGAAUAGGGACAGAAAGGAGCCACUCCCUUCCAAACCUACCAUGAGCAGAGGGGUGCUUUUGCUAGGCUGGCUUGGUCUUUUAAUUCCUGCCUGGAGGUUGCUCACUUGCUGUAUGUGUGCACUUGUUAUAGAUGAUAAAACUAAAAGCUUUUCUAAUGCAACGCAAAGGUGUCUUUCUUUUGCUCACUAUUUUCUAGCAAGUAGUUAUUGUGGUGUUGUAUGUCCGCAGGGAGUAAAAUCAAAACAAAUUUAUUAGAUCACCAUAUAACUUACUCCUAAUCAAGAUCUUGACCAUGCAAACUGUGUUGCAAAGCCUUAAGGCAGGUGCUACCUGGGGACAAUGUGCAAACGUGUUUUUGUUUCGUUUCUUGUUGAUUUUUGGCAUGUACCACUUAAGGGCACUUAGACCCUUAAUUCCUUUAAAAUAUGCAAAAACGUAGAGUUGAGCUUUUUUGCUGUCAAUAAAUUUUAAAUGUUAA